rnacentral:rRNA from 1 species
UACGUAGGGGGCAAGCGUUAUCCGGAUUUACUGGGUGUAAAGGGAGCGUAGACGGCGCUGCAAGUCCGGAGUGAAAGCCCAUGGCUUAACCAUGGUACUGCUCUGGAAACUGUGGAGCUUGAGUGCGGGAGGGGCAGGCGGAAUUCCUAGUGUAGCGGUGAAAUGCGUAGAGAUCGGGAGGAACACCAGUGGCGAAGGCGGCCUACUGGGCUCUAACUGACGCUGAGGCACGAAAGCGUGGGUAGCAAACAGG